rnacentral:SRP_RNA from 1 species
GCCGGGUGUGGUAGUGCGUGCCUGUAAUCCCAGCUACUCAGGAGGCUGAGGCAGGAGAAUCACUUGAACCCAGGAGGCGGAGGUUGCAGUGAGCCGAGAUCACGCCACUGUACUCCAGCCUGGGCAACAGAGUGAGACUCUGUCUCUA